ensembl:rRNA 5S_rRNA 5S ribosomal RNA
GCUUACGGCAUACCACCACUUAGGCACGCCCGAUCUCGUCUGAUCUCGGAAGCUAAGCAGGGUCGGGCCUGGUUAGUACUUGGAUGGGUGACCGCCUGGGAAUACCAGGUGCUGUAAGCA